rnacentral:rRNA from 1 species
CCUACGGGUGGCAGCAGUGAGGAAUAUUGGUCAAUGGGCGCGAGCCUGAACCAGCCAAGUCGCGUGAGGGAUGAAGGUUCUAUGGAUCGUAAACCUCUUUUAUAAGGGAAUAAAGUGUGGGACGUGUCCUAUUUUGUAUGUACCUUAUGAAUAAGGAUCGGCUAACUCCGUGCCAGCAGCCGCGGUAAUACGGAGGAUCCGAGCGUUAUCCGGAUUUAUUGGGUUUAAAGGGUGCGUAGGCGGCCGUUUAAGUCAGCGGUGAAAGGCGGUGGCUCAACCAUAGAAUUGCUGUUGAAACUGGGGAGCUUGAGUGUGUGUGAGGCAGGCGGAAUGCGUGGUGUAGCGGUGAAAUGCGUAGAUAUGACGCAGAACCCCGAUUGCGAAGGCAGCCUGC